UCUCCAAAGGGGCUUGUCAUAUGCCAAGUGGUGCUUGGGAGAGCAGCUGGAACCCCAAUCAGGGUGAGAAAGCUAGAGAAGAGAUCCCAGGCAGCAAGAUACUCAAGAUGAUAAACUUCUACAGAUGGUCUCUGUCCGUGGUGGUGUGUUUGCUGCUGCUGUUGGCAGGCUGGGGGGGGCCUGUGCAAAAAUGAAGAUUCCAGACUAUCCGGGGGAAGAUGCUAGCAUCGAGCAGAUGGAAGACUUCCUGUUGAUAUUGGGCCAGGAGUUGGAGGCUAUCGGCAUGUCCCUGUGAGUGGGGCACCAGGGCAGGCCGGCAGCCCUUGGUUUGUGUGUUUGUGAAAGUAAAGUGUGCCGAUGAGGGGAGAAGGAGAAGAGAAGGAAGAAAGGGUCUGUGUGCAGGGUUGUUUGGGAAUGCUGAACACUCAGUAAUGGAAACCAACGUGGUCAAGGCAGACAAUGCCCACUCUACUUCUCUCUGGCAAUUACCGGAAAAGGAGACGCUAAGAGAUCUCCCCAGGCAAUGGCUCUGAAUUCUAUCCCCUUCCAGAGGACCAAGACUUUAAAGGCUGGCUGGAACUGGGCCACACCCAUUGAAUUUGGACGAAAUCUAAAUUCCCAAACACCCAAACAUGCCAAUUGUCGUCAAUUGACUCCAGUCAUCCUAGAAGGCCUAGCCAAGCCUAUCCUGUCCAGAGACCCAGAGUUUAAGACUCCAAAGAUCCCUCCAGAAUUGAUGACUCAAGGGCCUCACAGGGGGCUUACCUCUGGGUUGUUGCACAACAUAUUGCUUGACUGAUACCUGUCCUCCACCAAACCAGUUGGGAUUUUUACCACGGAUUUCUUCCUUUGCUUUGCUCCGAGUUUCUCCAUUUCGAGCCCACUUUACCUUGGGGAGUAAGGAGAAGACCUGGACGCUGGCAGGCUGCCUAAAUCAGGGCAGAGCGCCACCCCGCCAGCACCCCAAAGGUUCACUUAUUCACCACAAGUAGUGUAAUCUGGACGAGCCCCCAAAACUGUGUGAUUCAGAUAGCAUUUAAUAAAAAGCUGCAAAGAUCUCUAGAAGCAAAGCAAAGUUUAUUAUAUGUUCUUGAGAGAAUCGGGUGUCCCACCCAUCAAGCAGACAAUGGAAGGGAGGAAGCCCCAUAGGGGGCAGGGUCAACACUUUUAAUCCCUAAUGCAAAUUCCCCCUCCCACCACUGACCCUCAUUCUUAUUGGCUGAGGAUCUUACAUUCUAAACAAGGGAACUACCCAAGAAAUUGAACUUGACCAAUAA